UACGAAGGGGGCGAGCGUUGUUCGGAUUUACUGGGCGUAAAGGGCGCGUAGGCGGCCAUCUAAGUCAGACGUGAAAUCCCCCGGCUUAACCUGGGAACUGCGUCUGAUACUGGACGGCUGGAGUUUGGGAGAGGGAUGUAGAAUUCCAGGUGUAGCGGUGAAAUGCGUAGAUAUCUGGAGGAAUACCGGUGGCGAAGGCGGCAUCCUGGACCAAUACUGACGCUGAGGCGCGAAAGCUAGGGGAGCAAACGGG
rnacentral:rRNA from 1 species